UCCAUCUCUGGUUUUGGUGCUCCCAACCCGAAUAUCUAAAACCUAACCAUAUCUGCUUCUCUCCACACAUCUGGGGUAUCGACUCCGCCCCUUUCCAGAAUUCCAGGGUUUCGCAGUCGCCACGGCAUCCAUGGCUUCCAGGUUAAGCCGGAGCCUGGGCACCUGCUCCGUCUCGGCCUUCGGUCUCUCGUCUUCCCCCUUGGUCUCCAAUGGCCGGAGAGCAGUGCCCUCUAGAAGUUCGCUUUUGCCCCAAUCCCUUCUCCCACGGAAGGGGUUUCCUUGUGCUGGCCUGAGAUGGAAACUGGAGAAGAGGGAGAGUCGAAUGGUGGUCCGAUGCGAGGCGGCGGUUGCGGAGAAGGAAGCGGAGGAGGCGUCUGGCGAGAAGUUUGAGUACCAGGCUGAGGUCAGCCGCCUCAUGGAUUUGAUAGUUCAUAGUUUGUACAGCCACAAAGAAGUAUUUCUUCGCGAGCUUGUAAGUAAUGCAAGCGAUGCACUGGAUAAGUUGAGAUUUUUAAGUGUGACUGAUCCUUCUCUACUUGGCGAUGGUGGCGAGUUGGAGAUACGCAUUAAGCCUGAUCCAGAUAAUGGGACAAUUACAAUCUUUGACACUGGUAUUGGAAUGACCAAAGAAGAGCUUAUUGACUGCCUUGGGACCAUUGCUCAGAGUGGAACUUCCAAAUUCUUAAAGGCUCUCAAGGAGAACAAAGAUGUUGGGGCAGACAAUGGCUUAAUUGGUCAGUUUGGUGUUGGAUUCUAUUCGGCUUUCCUUGUUGCAGACAAGGUUGUUGUGUCCACUAAGAGUCCAAAAUCAGAUAAGCAGUAUGUCUGGGAAGCAGUGGCUGACAGUAGCUCUUAUGUGAUACGAGAAGAGACUGAUCCUGAGAAGUUACUACGCCGUGGAACCCAAAUUACCCUCUAUCUUCGACCAGAUGAUAAGUUUGAAUUUGCGGAGCCCAUCAAGAUCCAGGGAUUGGUCAAGAACUACUCACAAUUUGUGUCCUUCCCCAUAUACAUGUGGCUGGAGAAAUCAAGAACUGUAGAGGUGGAAGAAGAGGAACCUCCAAAAGAGGGCGAAGAAGCAAAGCCAGAGGGUGAAAAAAAGAAGAAGAAAACUGUUACCAAGAAGUAUUGGGACUGGGAACUGGCAAAUGAAAUAAAGCCUAUAUGGAUGCGAAAUCCGAAAGAAGUUCAGAAAGAUGAAUACAACGAAUUUUAUAAGAAGACAUUUAAUGAAUUCUUGGAUCCUCUUGGAUACACCCACUUCACCACAGAGGGGGAGGUGGAAUUCAGAAGUGUUCUUUACAUACCAGGAAUGGCGCCUCUUAACAAUGAAGAUGUGAUAAAUCCCAAGACAAAGAAUAUUCGCUUAUAUGUCAAACGUGUAUUUAUUUCAGAUGAUUUUGAUGGCGAGCUGUUCCCUCGUUACUUGAGCUUUGUGAAGGGUGUAGUGGAUUCGAAUGAUCUUCCUCUCAAUGUUUCUCGUGAGAUUCUUCAAGAAAGUCGAAUUGUGAGAAUUAUGCGGAAAAGGCUUGUCAGGAAAACAUUUGAUAUGAUCCAAGAAAUCUCUGAAAGCGAAAACAAGGAGGAUUACAAGAAGUUCUGGGAGAACUUUGGAAGGCUUAUCAAACUAGGGUGCAUUGAGGACUCAGGAAAUCACAAGCGCCUUGCUUCUUUGUUGCGCUUCUAUUCUUCCAAAAGUGAGGAAGAUAUGAUAAGCUUGGAUCAAUAUGUGGAGAACAUGGCUGAGAACCAGAAGGCUAUCUAUUACUUGGCCACAGACAGCUUGAAGAGUGCUAAAACGGCACCAUUCUUAGAGAAGCUGGUCCAGAAAGAUAUGGAAGUUCUGUAUCUGGUAGAGCCCAUUGAUGAGGUUGCUAUUCAGAACCUACAGACCUACAAAGAGAAAAAGUUUGUUGAUAUCAGUAAGGAAGAUCUAGAAUUGGGUGAUGAGGACGAGGUACAAGAAAGAGAAAACAAGCAGGAGUACAAUCUUUUAUGUGAUUGGAUAAAGCAACAACUUGGUGAUAAGGUAGCUAAAGUCCAAGUGUCAAAGCGACUAAGUUCUUCACCAUGUGUUCUUGUCUCUGGCAAAUUUGGAUGGUCCGCAAACAUGGAAAGGUGUACUCAAAAAGCUCAUGAGAGCACAAACUCUUGGUGACACAUCAAGCUUAGAAUUCAUGAGAGGAAGAAGAAUUUUGGAAAUCAAUCCGGAUCAUCCCAUCGUCAAAGACUUGAGUGCUGCUUGCAAGAAUGACCCGAGCAAUGAUGAAGCUAAAAGAGCAAUCGAUUUAUUGUAUGAUACUGCAUUAAUCUCAAGUGGAUACACGCCUGACAGCCCCGCUGAGUUGGGGAGCAAGAUUUAUGAGAUGAUGGCGAUUGCCCUUGGUGGAAGAUGGGGAAGACUGGAAUCUGAAGCAGCAGCAGAAGAAGCUGAAGUAAGUACUGAAGCAGGCUCUGGUGAAACGACCGAGGCAGAGGUGGUUGAACCUUCGGAGGUGCGCACAGAGAGUGAUCCAUGGAAGGAUUGAUCAUUUUUAGUAUCAAUUCUUUAAACGUGAGUUGGGCAUCAAAUUUUGCUGCCUGAAGUCGAGUUCAUCGAGUUGAAGUGAUUGAACUUAAAAACCAUCUGAACUUAAAAACCAUCUGGCAUUCUUAUAUAGGCCUUUGCGCUUCAAAUUUUGGAGGCUUUUGUAAAGUUUCUCGUUCGCGAACAAUGAGAAAAAAAGGUGAAGAGAAGUUAUUUAUGCCA